rnacentral:rRNA from 1 species
GACGAACGCUGGCGGCGUGCUUAACACAUGCAAGUCGAACGGAAAGGCCCUGCUUUUGUGGGGUGCUCGAGUGGCGAACGGGUGAGUAACACGUGAGUAACCUGCCCUUGACUUUGGGAUAACUUCAGGAAACUGGGGCUAAUACCGGAUAGGAGCUCCUGCUGCAUGGUGGGGGUUGGAAAGUUUCGGCGGUUGGGGAUGGACUCGCGGCUUAUCAGCUUGUUGGUGGGGUAGUGGCUUACCAAGGCUUUGACGGGUAGCCGGCCUGAGAGGGGGACCGGCGACAUUGGGACUGAGAGACGGCCCAGACGCCUACGGGAGGCAGCAGUGGGGAAUAUUGCACAAUGGGCGGAAGCCUGAUGCAGCAACGCCGCGUGCGGGAUGACGGCCUUCGGGUUGUAAACCGCUUUCGCCUGUGACGAAGCGUGAGUGACGGUAAUGGGUAAAGAAGCACCGGCUAACUACGUG